GAGGAUUUAGUGGCAGUCAUUCCUGGCCCUGCAGGAGCUGGGCUACAAGGAUGGGAGCCCGCAGGGCUGCCACGUUUGGGGAUGGCCUUAGGGAGGCAGGCAAAGCCCAUCCCCACCCAGUGGGACAGGGUAGAGGGUGCUGAUCCUUGUGAAGGGGUUUUCAUUGAGAUUUGGUCCCAGCUGUUCCUCAAAAGACCUUGGGGAUGGGAUAUUUGGUAGCUGUUGUUGGUUCUUGUAGAUUUUUAUUUCAAUUUGCCUUUUCUAAAAUGCUGUUGAUCCCCUUUGAACUCUUCUACUUCAGCAGUGUACUUACUGAAGGAAUUUGUUUCUUCUCAAAAUGAAUUAUUUGACCUGCUAGGUUAUUCAGCAAAUUCAAAAGUACUAUGUAGGAAACAAGUUUAUUUUUUCACCAAGCACCUGGAUCUGUGCAUCUGCAAUUGAAAGAAUAAGAAAAUGGUAUUUUGCCUGCGCCAAGUCUGAGGAAUUGCAGUGAAUAAUGGUGGGAGGAAUGACAAAGCAAAUAGGAAAAGAGUCUUCAGAAAGUCCCUUUCAGAAAGCUUGUGAUGAGAUGAUGUGAGUCUUACACUGGAAGCAAGAUAAUUGAUUUGAGUUUGUUCUGCCACUGCAGCUGGUUACAACAAGCAGCCUGCCCUCUGCCAGAGCAGAGCAAGAGGAGGGCAGGUCUGAGCGCUUCUGCUGGGGUGAAGUUCUCUGGCUUUCAGUGUUUGCACAGUGAAUUCAAUGUCAACAUGCACACAGACAGCAGAUCUCAGAGGAGUCAGAGGAAAGAAAGCUCCAGUGAUUUUUUAUUGUUGAAACAAGCACUGCUUCUAACUGCUGGAAUGCAGCUGCACACUGUGUACUGGAAGCCUGGAUGCCAGGGAAGUGUUAAUCCCUGCAGUCGAGGAAUAUGACAUGGAUACUUUAGUUUGUCUUCAUUUGUUCAGCUGGUCCUUGCCCCAGGCAGGGCCUAGACCAGGCUCAUGUGCUCAUUUGUGGCAACUUGAGGCAGUGAGAGCAAACUGGGAGAAAAUCCCUACUCCUGUUCAUGGAUGCAGCCCAGCACCUGUGGCUCCAAAGUCCUGCUCACCCAUGUGUGAGCACCUCAGGCACAUUCCCAGAAGAGUAACAAUCCAAAGUUUACACUUCCAGUGA
rnacentral:lncRNA from 1 species